rnacentral:rRNA from 1 species
GACGAACGCUGGCGGCGUGCCUAAUACAUGCAAGUAGAACGCACAGUUUAUACCGUAGCUUGCUACACCAUAGACUGUGAGUUGCGAACGGGUGAGUAACGCGUAGGUAACCUGCCUGGUAGCGGGGGAUAACUAUUGGAAACGAUAGCUAAUACCGCAUAAUAUUAAUUAUUGCAUGAUAAUUAAUUGAAAGGUGCAAUUGCACCACUACCAGAUGGACCUGCGUUGUAUUAGCUAGUAGGUGAGGUAACGGCUCACCUAGGCGACGAUACAUAGCCGACCUGAGAGGGUGAUCGGCCACACUUGGACUGAGACACGGCCCAGACUCCUACGGGAGGCAGCAGUAGGGAAUCUUCGGCAAUAGACGAAAGUCUGACCGAGCAACGCCGCGUGAGUGAAGAAGGUUUUCGGAUCGUAAAGCUCUGUUGUAAGAGAAGAACGGGUGUGAGAGUGGAAAGUUCACACUGUGACGGUAUCUUACCAGAAAGGGACGGCUAACUACGUG